AUUGAACGCUGGCGGCAUGCUUUACACAUGCAAGUCGAACGGUAACAGGUCUUCGGAUGCUGACGAGUGGCGAACGGGUGAGUAAUACAUCGGAACGUGCCUAGUAGUGGGGGAUAACUACUCGAAAGAGUAGCUAAUACCGCAUGAGAUCUACGGAUGAAAGCAGGGGACCUUCGGGCCUUGUGCUACUAGAGCGGCUGAUGGCAGAUUAGGUAGUUGGUGGGGUAAAGGCUUACCAAACCUGCGAUCCGUAGCUGGUCUGAGAGGACGACCGGCCAACCUGGGACUGAGCCACGGCCCAGACUCCUACGGGAGGCAGCAGUGGGGAAUUUUGGACAAUGGGCGAAAGCCUGAUCCAGCAAUGCCGCGUGCAGGAUGAAGGCCCUCGGGUUGUAAACUGCUUUUGUACGGAACGAGAAGCCUGGGGCUAAUAUCCCCGGGUCAUGACGGUACCGUAAGAAUAAGCACCGGCUAACUACGUGCCAGCCGCCGCCGUAA
rnacentral:rRNA from 1 species